CCGGAUGAGGUAGGGUCGGCCCGGAUGAGUUAGGGUCGGUCCGGAUGAGUUGGGGUCGGUCCGGAUGAGUUAGGGUCGGUCCGGAUGAGUUAGGGUCGGUCCGGAUGAGUUAGGGUCGGUCCGGAUGAGUUGGGGUCGGUCCGGAUGAGUGGGGGUCUGUCCGGAUGAGUUGGGGUCGGUCCGGAUGAGUUGGGGUCGGUCCGGAUGAGUUGGGGGUCGGUCCGGAUGAGUUAGGGUCGGUCCGGAUGAGUUAGGGUCGGUCCGGAUGAGUUGGGGUCGGUCCGGAUGAGUUGGGGUCGGUCCGGAUGAGUUAGGGUCGGUCCGGAUGAGGUAGGGUUGGUCCGGAUGAGUUGGGGUCGGUCUGGAUGAGUUAGGAUUGGUCUGGAUGAGUUAGCCACGUUGUGAUUACUUUCUAGUCGCUAGUGCAUUAGUAUGAAUGACCCUGUGCAUGUAAUACAUACAACCAUACAGGUGUGUAAAGCCUAAUCUUACAAAACAAAAUUAUUUUUAUUUAGUACAUAUUAUGUCCAUUGUUGUAUACAACAUCAAAAUACUAGAGUAGCACAUUCUCAAGAGAUUUCUUCUAACACAUCUUUAUAUUCUAGUCUAAAUAAAUUCAAACCAUGAUUUUGACAUCAUUUCAGAGGAACAGGACAUAAUAGUUAACAUAGGUCAUGUAUCUACCGCUCUCCCUAGGUAGAGAAGAUAAGAACAGCCAGGUAGAGAAGAUAAGAACAGCCAGGUAGAGAAGAUAAGAACAGCCAGGUAGAGAAGAUAAGAACAGCCGGGUAGAGAAGAUAAGAACAGCCAGGUAGAGAAGAUAAGAACAGUCAGGUAGAGAAGAUAAGAACAGCCAGGUAGAGAAGAUAAGAACAGCCAGGUAGAGAAGAUAAGAACAGCCAGGUAGAGAAGAUAAGAACAGCCAGGUAGAGAAGAUAAGAACAGUCAGGUAGAGAAGAUAAGAACAGCCAGGUAGAGAAGAUAAGAACAGCCAGGUAGAGAAGAUAAGAACAGCCAGGUAGAGAAGAUAAGAACAGUCAGGUAGAGAAGAUAAGAACAGCCAGGUAGAGAAGAUAAGAACAGUCAGGUAGAGAAGAUAAGAACAGCCAGGUAGAGAAGAUAAGAACAGCCAGGUAGAGAAGAUAAGAACAGCCAGGUAGAGAAGAUAAGAACAGCCAGGUAGAGAAGAUAAGAACAGUUAGGUAGAGAAGAUAAGAACAGCCAGGUAGAGAAGAUAAGAACAGCCAGGUAGAGAAGAUAAGAACAGCCAGGUAGAGAAGAUAAGAACAGCCAGGUAGAGAAGAUAAGAACAGCCAGGUAGAGAAGAUAAGAACAGCCAGGUAGAGAAGAUAAGAACAGCCAGGUAGAGAAGAUAAGAACAGCCAGGUAGAGAAGAUAAGAACAGCCAGGUAGAGAAGAUAAGAACAGCCAGGUAGAGAAGAUAAGAACAGCCAGGUAGAGAAGAUAAGAACAGCCAGGUAGAGAAGAUAAGAACAGCCAGGUAGAGAAGAUAAGAACAGCCAGGUAGAGAAGAUAAGAACAGCCAGGUGGAGAAGAUAAGAACAGCCAGGUAGAGAAGAUAAGAACAGUUAGGUAGAGAAGAUAAGAACAGUUAGGUAGAGAAGAUAAGAACAGCCAGGUAGAGAAGAUAAGAACAGCCAGGUAGAGAAGAUAAGAACAGCCAGGUAGAGAAGAUAAGAACAGUUAGGUAGAGAAGAUAAGAACAGCCAGGUAGAGAAGAUAAGAACAGUCAGGUAGAGAAGAUAAGAACAGCCAGGUAGAGAAGAUAAGAACAGCCAGGUAGAGAGAGCAGAGAAAUAGGAGAGAACUAGUUAUGGUAGAGAAGAUAAGAACAGCCAGGUAGAGAGAGCAGAGAAAUAGGAGAGAACUAGUUAUGGUAGAGAAGAUAAGAACAGCCAGGUAGAGAGAGCAGGAACUAGUUAUGAUAGAGGAGAGAGAUAACUAGUUAUGAUAGAGGAGAGAGAUAACUAGUUAUCAUAGAGGAGAGAGAACUAGUUAUGAUAGAGGAGAGAGAACUAGUUUUGAUAGAGAGAGAAAUAGUUAUGAUAGAGGAGAGAGAACUAGUUAUG